GUACGUACAUCGGCGUGUUAAUGCAUUCACUGAGAAAUGACCGUUUGUCGCAAAAAUGAGGUUUCGGCUCCACGGAAGGUCCAAAAAGAAGACAACUCAACCUAACAACACCAUCUAGGGGGUCAUUGCUAUUUGGGGAAAUCAUUGAAAAUGAACCAAAAUUGUUGAAAGUGACCGCAAUGAACAUACAACACGUACCCCAUCCUGUCAACCGAGCUCUUGCAGGGAAGCACAGACCCAGAGAUGCGGAACCAAUUGAUCUUUAUUAGAUCAAUCAGGCAACGGGCUUUCACGGGGCGAGACGGAUAGGAUGGUCGUGAUCGGAAACAAAGAUCUCUCUCAUGGCAAGAAUUCACAGGGACUGCAAUGGGGUAAACAUCUCAACACGUGAGGAGGCACAGUAUUGAUGCUAAGAGGUACAAAUGCAAUCUGACCUAAGAAUGAAAGGAGGUGGGGACCAGGCAGGAAAAAUCAAACCCGCAUGUGACCUGCAAUCAACAAGGAAGUCAUGGCUGAACAAGGGUGCUUUUCCCAUCAUACCUCCAUAAGCAUGAAUGAGCAGCUCAUAAAAUGAAAGGAAUGUGUGAUCUAGCAUUAAAACUAACUUGGCAGUGGCCUUAAUGAACUUAUUGUCCAUGCAGUUCUUCAGCCUAUUAGUAAAACCAAUUAUGGGGAACCUCGCACUAGGCUGACUGAGCUUUUUUCCUUCUCCUGCCAAUAAUGAACUCAGUGUGGAACCUGAUUUUAAAAGGACUGCAUGGUCAGAACAAAAUUCAAUUGGUAGACCUAAGAGCUCCGCCCAACCCCCACAUCCAUGCUGUGCCAGGU